rnacentral:tRNA from 1 species
AGAGGGUUAAUCCAAAUAAGACCUCUGAUUUCGGCUCAGAAAAUCGUGGUUCAACUCCACGACCCUCUU